CUGUCGUCGACAAAGUCAGCAAAGCGGUCUGUGACGCCAUCAUGAGGGGCGGUGGCGCAGGCGCAGUGGCUACUCCCGGCACUGUGUGGGUAGCUGCACUUCCGACCGGGCAUCUCACUCUGGCACAGCAAACCUACUGACCUCUUCGACACUUUGACUCGCUGGCUUUGGGUUGACGGCUUCUCGGCGCCCACAUUAGUCAAUGGCGUCAUGGCCGCAGUGCCUGGGGCCGGGCACCCGACUUUUCUGGCCAUCUCUUAGCAAAGAGGAAGGAUGGAAACCGCGUCGCGAAAAGGAAUUGGGGAAGUCAAACUGGUGCUUCCUGACAGGUGUCACCUGAGAGAUCUUCUUGUAGACUUCCAGAUGGUGGAAAGACCACCUCCCAAUUGGACAGAGGAUGCCUGAGACUGGAUUCAUUGCUUUCAAAGUUCCUUUGCAAAAGGUAAGAAAAGAUAAUUCUGUAUUCUUUCAGAAAUCUAAAUUCACCACAGAAUACUGGUUUUGCAUUC
rnacentral:lncRNA from 1 species